rnacentral:rRNA from 1 species
GACGAACGCUGGCGGCGUGCUUAACACAUGCAAGUCGAACGGAAAGGCCCUGCUUUUGUGGUUUUCUCGAGUGGCUAACUGGUUAUUAACACGUUUGUAACCUGCCCUUUUCUUUUGUUUAACUUCAGGAAACUUGGGCUAAUACCGGAUAGGUUCUCCUGCUGCAUUUUUUUGUUUGGUAAGUUUCGGCGGUUGGGGAUGGACUCGCGGCUUAUCAGCUUGUUGGUGGGGUAGUUGCUUACCAAGGCUUUGACGGGUAGCCGGCCUGAGAGGGUGACCGGAGAAAUUGGGAGUGAGAGACGGAACAGACGCCAACGGGAGGAAGCAGUGGGGAAUAUGGAAAAAUGGGCGGAAGCCUGAUGGAGAAACGCCGCGUGCGGGAUGACGGACUUCGGGGUGUAAAAAGAGUUAGAAUGUGAAGAAGAGUGAGUGAAGGUAAUGGGUAAAGAAGCAAGGGAUAACUACGUG